CAAGUCGAACGAUGAAGCCGGAGCUUGCUCUGGUGAAUUAGUGGCGAACGGGUGAGUAACACGUGAGUAACCUGCCCUUGACUCUGGGAUAACUGCUAGAAAUGGUAGCUAAUACCGGAUACGACCCUCGGCGGCAUCGCCAGGGGGUGGAAAGAAUUUCGGUCAAGGAUGGACUCGCGGCCUAUCAGCUAGUUGGUGAGGUAACGGCUCACCAAGGCGACGACGGGUAGCCGGCCUGAGAGGGUGACCGGCCACACUGGGACUGAGACACGGCCCAGACUCCUACGGGAGGCAGCAGUGGGGAAUAUUGCACAAUGGGCGCAAGCCUGAUGCAGCAACGCCGCGUGAGGGAUGACGGCCUUCGGGUUGUAAACCUCUUUUAGUAGGGAAGAAGCGAAAGCGACGGUACCUGCAGAAAAAGCACCGGCUAACUACGUGCCAGCAGCCGCGGUAAUACGUAGGGUGCAAGCGUUGUCCGGAAUUAUUGGGCGUAAAGAGCUCGUAGGCGGUUUGUCGCGUCUGCUGUGAAAUCCCGAGGCUCAACCUCGGGCCUGCGGUGGGUACGGGCAAACUAGAGUGUGGUAGGGGAGAUUGGAACUCCUGGUGUAGCGGUGGAAUGCGCAGAUAUCAGGAAGAACACCGAUGGCGAAGGCAGAUCUCUGGGCCAUUACUGACGCUGAGGAGCGAAAGCGUGGGGAGCGAACAGGAUUAGAUACCCUGGUAGUCCGCGCCGUAAACGUUGGGAACUAGAUGUAGGGUCCAUUCCACGGAUUCUGUGUCGCAGCUAACGCAUUAAGUUCCCCGCCUGGGGAGUACGGCCGCAAGGCUAAAACUCAAAGGAAUUGACGG
rnacentral:rRNA from 1 species